UACGUAGGGUGCGAGCGUUGUCCGGAAUUAUUGGGCGUAAAGAGCUCGUAGGCGGUGUGUCGCGUCGGCCGUGAAAACCUGCAGCUUAACUGUGGGCUUGCGGUCGAUACGGGCAUCACUGGAGUUCGGCAGGGGAGACUGGAAUUCCUGGUGUAGCGGUGAAAUGCGCAGAUAUCAGGAGGAACACCAAUUGCGAAGGCAGCUCGCUGGGACGUUACUGAACGCUGGAGAACGGCGAAAGCGUGGGGAGCAAACAGG
rnacentral:rRNA from 1 species